AUCAAAACUUUCAACAACGGAUCUCUUGGCUCUGGCAUCGAUGAAGAACGCAGCGAAAUGCGAUAAGUAAUGUGAAUUGCAGAAUUCAGUGAAUCAUCGAAUCUUUGAACGCACAUUGCGCCCGCCAGCACUCUGGCGGGCAUGCCUGUCCGAGCGU
rnacentral:rRNA from 1 species